UCCCACUCUGCGUGCUGUCAGUCCCCAGUCCCCGCACAAACCCGGUCUCUUUCUCCCAAUCCCCGCCGAGCUUGUUCCUCCGGCCACCGCGCAAGGAGCCCCGUCGGUUAAGCCUGCAAUUAGCAUGGCACUCACGUGACCAUGGAUGGGCUAUGAAGGAGGAGGAGCCAUGAUAUGGAUCUGGCGGCCACUUGAAGCCUCCGCCUGCGGCGUCAUACCGUUGCCGGGGUGCCGCGCAAGAGGUCAGGGUCCGCCGCCACCGCGAACCAGGGGACGCCCAUUGGCAACCCUUCGUGCAGGAAGCCGAUGUGGAGCAUGGCGUCAACAAGUCGCCAGGAGGAGCCCCAUACACCAGCCGAGCGAGCACCGGUUGCGAGGUCGGCCUCGCUUCUCCAUCCCAGCAGGCCGGCCGAGCUGCUCCCCUCCCCCCACACCGUCCUACCGGACCUGCCCUGCUCGUCCACCCCAGCGAGAAGACCCCACCUCCUCAACCGUUGGUCGCGGGUGGAGAAGAGGCUGUGGGGUGAGCAGCUCCUCGGCGUCGGACAGAGACGAUGGAGGUGAACAGCGGCGGCGGCUGACGAGAGAGGAUGGAGGAGAAGGGGAGGGGUGCUGCAUCAUGGAUCCAAGUACACUUUUUUAUCGGAGGGAGUAUAACAUAUUACCUUUGUGCUCUUCGAAUUUUAGUAUACACUUGCGAAACAAACAUGUCAUUAAUAUCAGUGCCUAAGAAUUAUUUGUUUUGGAUUCUAAUUUGUUCAGCAGAGGGCGAUCAAUAUAGAAGAGAUAUAUACACAAAUUUCCCUAGGUGCAGCAUCUUCUACUGUCCAAGCCUCCAAGAUUCAGUUAGAUAGCAUUGUCUUCUCCCUGAGCAGCAAAAUGAAGGUCACCAAUGCUGUGCGGUAGGCUAAAGGACGCCUGCCUCUGUGCCCCUCCCCAAACUACAUGGUCUGCUUCAGCUUGCAUGUUGCCACUUCCUCUAUUCUCAUUGCUUUUCUUUGAUUAGUGUAGUGAUCCACACUGAACGUGUAUGAAAAUGUUUUUGCUGGGGCAUUUUUGCACCAAGCCAAUUGGUCUGCUUUGUUGGAACAAUUGAUUGAUAGUAUCUUCAUUGGAAGUUAUGCCAGGAGCAUGCAUUGGGUGGUAUAUUUUCGCCAUUGUUCGCGCCGCCGAAGCUUGGCUGGGAAAGUUUAUGCCCUUUAUGUAUAUUAAUGUUUAGCUAAAGACAUGGAUCUCUUGAUUUUGUGGAGAUGCAAAGCAGCUCCGUAGGUAGAGGUAUGUAAUUAGUCAGUACAUUUUUAAACUAUUAGUUCAUCUUCUAAAAAAAUAUUAAUGUACAGGUAGUGUAUCUAAAGUUAGGCUCUUUCUACAUUGCACAACCAAGUUUCCAGCCUAAAAAUAUUUUAUCUAAAAUGUUAUUAGUUUCCAAUGUCCUGCUUGAUGUUACAUGGUGUUCAAGAAAGAAUUAUGGGCCAUUUUGUCAUGAAGCAUGAGAAUGAUAAUAUCAACUCAGUUGGGGAUAAGCAAAAAUUAAAUAAAUACUCCCUCCGUAAACUAAUAUAAGAGCGUUUAGAUUACUAAAGUAGUGAUCUAAAUGCUCUUAUAUUAAUUUACAGAGGGAGUACAUGAGAUGUGAUUAAUGAAAUAGGAAAAUGUCCUCUUCUCUCGAUUAUGCAUCUAUGAAAUAAAGAUUAGUGUAGAUGGUCAUUGUACAUCUGAAGGGAAACUUUACUGGUCAUGUUCUUCCCCCUUUUCAGUUCACAUGAUCAGUGCAUCCUCUUUAUACUAUGUAGUGCUAGGCUACAAAUUGGUUUUCCCUUUACUGCUCCAGCUGGAUUAUAUCUCAAACUUCCCUUGUUCCUAUGCUGAGAUUCUCCUAGCCAGUGGCAAAGGUACAUACUGCCUCUUCUUCUUUUUCCUUUGCAUUUUUCUUCGAUUGGAAGGAGUGGAUUACUGCCGCCAAUUUCUUGGAUGAAAUGAAGAGAUGCAAGAUAUGUAUGUUGUCAUGUCAGUUAUUUUGUUUUGCAACAAAAUGGAUAGUUCAUGUAUUCCCCACCGAGCAAGAUUUAUGUCUAAACUUAUGUCUGUGCUACAGAGAUUUUCUUAUUAUGUUUCAAUUCAAGAGACUUGUGUCACAGAGGCGAUGAACAGGUGGUGCUUAUUUUGCAUUUGUUGAUUAGGGAAUUCUGAUGAAGCAAUGUUUUUUUGGAAUAGCUGAUGAGUGCUCACUUCUACUGUUCCCCAAAAGACUAUUAAUGAUUUUUCCAGUGCUGCACAUUGCAUGCUUGCCACAAGCUUAGAAAAUCUUCGUCUUACUUUGCUAAAUGUUCUUUCUUACCAAACUAGCUUCAGGAUGAAUAGCAGGUUUAUUAACCAUUUGAUCUUGUUUGUGCAUAGCAGGUUUGCUGCUAAGUCUAUUUAAGUAUUUUUUUGCAUGAUUAUCCUAUGGAGCCAUGAUGCUGAACCAAUGAAUUUUGAGAAAAUUUAGUAUGUUUAUGGAUCACUACAUGUUCUGUUGGAACAAGAAUGCCCAAGAGACGCGAUGUGGGCACAGAAAUUGCAGCUGCUCUCAAAGCACAUGCAAGAUGUUACAAUAUUAUUCCCUAUCUUGAUUUGUAUAUGGCACCCAUGAAAUUUGAGAUCUUUUCUAAUGUUUGACCAAUAGAUAAUCAAACAAUAUAAAGUUUUGGUGAAAUAUGACCCACAUCAAAUUGGAAAUGAGAGGAUGUGAUUUGGUGCUAAUUUUCCACUUUCAGUUGAUGGCCUUUGUUGUGGUUGCACCAUGGUCUAUGGGGAACAGGAAUGAACACCUCUGCUACAACCGAAUAUGUAGAGUUCAACUAAGCCAUAAUGAGUGUGGAGGUUUAUUUUAUCUAUGUUUGUACCCAUGCAAAUCUUGAAUUGUUUACUUUGAUGGUCUAUCGAUUGUCAGAAUAUAGUAUGUUGUGUUCAACAUGCUCACAAAAUUGUAUAGAAGCUUUAGUGUUCAACAUUAUUGACUGUCUAUGUCAAAUUCAGAUUAACUCUAUGGACUAGCUCAUUCAAGUAUUACAGUUUUUUUUUC